GGGGAAUAAGAAGGGCUGGGGGGUUAUAAAGAACAAAGGGAUCAUAUAAACUAUGCAGGUCCAAGAUGCCCCUGCGAGCCGGGAGCCCGGGAUGAGCCGCUGCUGCGCCCCAGAGGGCUAGUGCAGCUAGACCUGCACUAGCCCCCCUCUGUGCCCAGCCAGGGGGGACUUUCUCCGGUGGUUGGAACCAGCCCCUGGCUCCAACUCCUGAGCCGGAGACUGAAGGAUGCAGACUGGAGGUUCAGGUGAGAAGAGCGGCUGCAAGGGGCCAAGAACAGUUCCCAGAGGUGCUGCGAGGAAGGAAGAGGGGAAAAAGGAGACAGAGGUGGAGGUGGUGAGGUGUGAAAGUAGAAAUUCCCAUCUGAUGUUCUCCAAGAUGCUUUCAAAGGUGAUGUUCAGAGAGGAAAAUAUGGGUUUGCGCCCUUUCAGAAGUGGCCACUGACUUUGAAUGCCUCAGUUUUGGGGUGUCUGACUUGUGACACCACAGGCCUGAUUCUCAGGGGGUGUUGAAUUGCCAUUGAUUUCAUUAGGAGUUGUAGCAGCUCAGCAUUUCUGAAAAGAGGCCCAAGAUGUUUCAGGCUAGGGACCCAUCAAUUAAGGAAAGCAAAGUAAGUAGCCUCUUGGAAAACUUGGCCCACUGUUCUCCCCAAGUGCACAGAAUUGAAUAUUUCAACACAAUCCCCUUGGGUACCUCCCUAAUAAACUUUACUGACCCCCAAGUGAAUACAAGUCUUUUAUAUUCUCAGAAAAUAAACCGGACUCAAAAUGCUUUAUGAAAAAUUUAAUAAAUCAUUUACACAUUAACAGCACCUCUGGAUCAGUCUGAAAAGCAAAUCCACAUACAUUCAAAAAUAAAACAACUACAUUAUAAUGAAGUUUACUUUGUUAGCCUAUAUGCAACCCCCAGGCAAAUGCUCCUCAAAGUUCAUAUUCCCAUUACUACAAAUAUGAGUCUUCAUCUUGCAGACACUUCACUUCAAGUAUCUGAGUAAUCAUAUUGAUUUCAGCAGGAAUAACAUGUGCAGAAAGUUAAACGGGUACAUGUUUGCAAGAAGGAAAUUAUAGCUCUGCAUAGCAACAACCAGCAGAUAUUGCAGCCUCAGCUCUGACCAGCAUCCCUGAGCAUCCCAUUAAAACUGCACACACUAUCCUACAUUUUUAAAUAAAUCAGCACCAUACCAACUGCAAACCUACCUCCAUUACAAUUCAUGAUGACCUGUUCUGUUCAUUCUCUCUGGGGCACCUGGCAUUGGCCACUGUUGGAAGACAGGAUAUUGGGCUAAAUGGACCUCUGGUCUGACUCAGUUGUCUGGCCAUUCUUAUCUUCUCAUGUAACUCCUUUACAGCUUUUGUAGACUGAGCUCAUUGCACAAGCUGGGCUCCCUGAAACUCUCCAUAUUCCCCCCACAUACCUACCAGCUCAUUGCCUGCCACCCUCCCAUCCGUCUCUAUUUCAGGAGCUCCCUGCAACACCCUCCAUCCCCUCCCUCAUGGCUGGGGCUCUUCCCCAUCCCCCUCAUACCAGGGUCUCCCAAUCUCCCCCCCUCCCCAAUUCCCUUCUCCCUUACCCGGGUCCACAAUUCCCCCCCUUCAGGCCAGCAGCUGCAU